CGCGGAUAUCAUAAGCGGUGCUCUUCUUUACAGCGGUCCCAACAAAGCUCGAGAUUCAUGUUGUUGUCUCAAUUGAUGUCGAGGAAUGAUUUUUUUGGGAGUAAAAUCUACAUUUUUUCAGUGGUGAUUCAUUUUUUUUUGCUUCAUCUUUCGAAAAAUAUUUCUUUCUUUCCUGAUCAUUAAGGGAACUAUAAUUAUAUGCUUUCUCAUUGAAAAUUGUUAAGGAAAGAAAUAAAGAUGAAGGAACUUAGAUGAUUCAAAUAUUCAUUACAAACCCCUAAAUCUACGAUUUCAGCUAUUAAUGUUGUUAUCGCACACAGCAUGAUCUUAAGGCACCGCGGGAAGUGGUAGGGGCAGUCCUAAAAGACGCAGCACCACAGUAGCUCAUUCGUUUCAUCUUCACUAGCAGUAUUGAGUAGAAAUACAUUCAGGAGUAUAACAGUCAUUUUACUGAAUGAUUUAUUUAAUUUUUAAAUACAAAUAUUAUUGUAAUUGUCCACUACUCUAUUUACACGUGUCUAGAUAUCCAUCACAAAGUCUAUUUACUAGUAUUUUCUAGAAAGUAUCUCAUAUAUAUUUUCUAGAAAGUAUCCCAUAUAUCCCAUUACAAAGCUCAUGGACUUCAUCUUCAACACAGGAAUAUCAACUCAUCGGAUUUCCGAACUGCACAACAAAUGAAGGCCAUAAAAGAGGAACUUGGUGACAAUGAUGAUAAAGAAGAUAAUUUGGUUGCAUUGAAGAGGAAGAUGCAAGGAGCAGGAAUACCUGCGAGUAUCUGAAAACAUGCUUUGAGGGAACUAAGGAGACUCAAAAAUAUGCAGCCUCAGCAACCUGGCUAUAAUAGCUCCCGUGUUUAUCUGGAGCUACUUGCUGAUCUUCCAUAGGAGAAGGCCAGCCUAGAACUUGAAUUGGAUUUAAAAGCUGGAAAAGAGCGUCUUGGUGCUGACCAUUAUGGUUUAGUGAAGGUCAAACAAUGGAUAAUCGAAUACCUAGCUGUUUGAAAGCUUAAACCAAAUGCAAGAGGUCUUGUGUUGUACUUUGUGGGUCCACUAGGUAUUGGGAAGACAUCUUUGGCUUCUUCUAUUAUUGUUGCUCUGUGCAGAGAGUUAUACGCAUCUCCCUAGGUGGUGUCAAAGAUGAGGCCGAUAUCAGAGGGCGUAGGAGAACAUAUAUUAGAAGCAUGCAAAAGGUGCAGACUUUAAUUUCUGCGAGUUUUGAUGAUUUUUGUCAUUUCAUUUUGUAUCUGCUGUUUGCAAGAUCUUGAAUACAAUUUCAACUUUCAACUAAGUUAUCCUGGAAAGAGAAAUUUUAAAGAAAAAAUCAACAGGAUUAAGAAUUAGCCAUGUUAAUUGGUCAUAUGGGUGUUUUAUCUGGAUAUGUGGAUAUGAAAGAUUCAUCAUCACCUAAAUCUUAGGACAUGGAUAGGAGUACUCUUGCAGGUGUUGAGAUACAAUAGGAUUUAUAGAAUUAAAUGAAUAGACACAUAUAGUUAAUCUAAAAAUUAGUGAAUCAAAACUUAUAGACAUAGAUUCUUUAAGUAGCUGAAUUUUAUUUCAUUAAAUUGUCUUACAGAAUGAUUGGCAGAGUGAUAAGGCUUUUGGUAUGAAACACAAGCUAGGGAACAUUCAAAGCCAUUUUAGUCCAAGUUUGUUUUAUCUAAUUUUGAAAACAAGGUAUUUAGUCAACAUAAACUUCCGAUUCGAAAAUAUUUGCCAUGGCCUCGUUAGACCAGAAACUGAACAAAUCACUUUGUUUCAAAUUAACUACAUUGUCUUUUUUUGUCUUCAUAAACUCUAGCAAGUCAACAAUAUAUAUAGUCAUAUUCCAUGAAACAUAAGCCAAGCCACUUGGCAGUGCAGAAAUAAAUGGUUGUUUUAUUCAUUGAUUCUCUUGAAAUAAAUAGGAUACAUUGACCAACUAAAAGCCUACAAAUAUUGUGCAUCUGAUCAAAUGAAGUAAAACUCUUUCUUUUUUAUAAAAGUCAUAAAAAGCACAAGAUCUUAGGAUUUGCCUGAGGGGUAUAUUGGAUGUUGCUUUGAAGGUGAAAAUUCUUUUAAAAAAAAAGGAAAUAUCAUCAAUGCUAUGUUGAAAUAGAAUUGUUGAUUUGAUUUUUAGCCAGGACUUUAGAAAUUAUUUCAAAAGGAAACACGUCUUGACAUAAAUAAAUUGUUAUGGAUCUGUUCAACUCAAUUAACAUACAUAUAAUUUGCUUUAUCGUUAUAUCAAUUUGGUGUUCUAUCAGGCUUUUCCUCUAAUUAGAUUUUAAAAUUAAAAGAUUCUGUUUAGUGUCAGCUUCUUUAAUUUUUUUCUCCAAUUUUCAAUUGAGCAUAAUAAUUUUUAGCAUCUUUAGGGUAGGACUUCAGUGGGAUUCAGCUAGAUGAGGUUUAAUUUUGAUCUAUUUACAGAUAAAGAUUAAAGUUCACAGUUUUCAUCAUUAUCAAAUUCUCACCUACAACUAAUGUGGCAAAACAUGAUUCCCAAUGAAAUCUAUGACAGAAACCUAAGAUUACUAAUUGUCUUGAAAUAAGAGUAUUGAAAUUUUAUUUGAAUUUUUUUCUAUGCUUAUGCUUAGAGAUCAAAUGCUGGGGCAUUUUGGUUUUGAUAUGUUGAUUAGUUCUAUAGCCAACUUUUACCUCAAACUUACGUGGUAAGCAGGACUUUUUAGUCUGACUAAUCAGCACACUCAAUUUGAGUUCUUUAGGUUAUGCAUUGUAUUAGGUGAUAGUUGUUAUGGACUGUGCAAACUUCAUCUUAACAUAAAAAAAGAUUUGUAUGGCAAGAUAGUCGGGAAUGGCCAAAUAUUUCUUGAAAACCAUUUUUGUAGCAGUAUGCUACCUUUUCUUUAGGUGUUUUUUCAUGAUAGUGUUUAGGCCAACUUGUGAGCACCUCUACUUUUCUGCCCACUUCAUGCUAACCUUCCUUAAAUAUUCUAUAAGAUGAUCUCAAAAGUUAACUUAUGGAGUAAGGAUCGUACAACAUCAUAUAAGAAGAGGCAACCCAUACCCUAUGGGAAAUAUAACACACUCGGCAUGCUGAUAUGGAUAUUUGCUUCUUUCUUUUGUGGUUCACGCAGCAACAUACAUAGGUAACUGUGAAGACAUAAUCUAUCUUGUAUCCUAGGUCUUGCACAGGCAUGUGCACCUCUGAGACCCUCAAUCGAGAUAAACUUUCUUUAAGAGACUGUACUUGUUUUAGUUCAGCAUCAAAAUUAAUAAGAGUCCCUUGGGCAAGAAGUUAAUCUGUACAGUAUAGUAGAUAGUACACCCACAAUCUCUACACCGGUUUCUCUGUAAUUAUAUCUCUGAGUUUUCCUAAACAUUUUAUAUUAAUAUUACUGAAGCUCCCAUCGUCUUGAUUCUUGAUGAAAUCAGCCAAAGGAGAUCUCAUCAAAAAUAAAAGUGCCCAAUAAUUCCUAUGUUUCUAUCCCACAACAGAAAGGAGGAGGUAUGUGACAAGUACACUGAAUUUAUCUAAUUUUCUUCUCAUUUUGAAUACUCAAUACAUAAAAGAUGGACCUUAUUUUAGAACACAUCUCCCAGUUGGUCUCUUGAAACUUGAGAUGCAAGGCUAAAUUUUAAUUUAUAAAUCUUCUAAUGAAUAUUACCUACUUAAGAAAAAAAUAAUUCAAAUUUUUGUUAUUCAAAACAAGAACAUAUCAUUCAUGUGAUUUACUAAAUUUUUCUAUGAACUAUUUAGGCAUCCUUAUACAUCUAAUACUAUAUAUUGAUAAUUUUUCUUAUAUAUGUGUUAAUAGUCUAUACAGAUAAUAUAUACACCUUUCUGGAAGUCCUUUCUCGGUAGAACUAGGAUCUUUAAAUGCGUAAAAUGAUUCACUUUUUUACCUCCUUUCACUUAAAUUUGCAAGUACCAAUAUUGUUUUUGGUAUUUCAUCUAAACUUUGAAGUAUGUUACAUGAGUCGAGUUCAGUGAAAGUAUAUAUUAGUAUAGGAGGUUGUAUAGUCAACCAAUUCGAGGAGCAGUUUCAGCAAAGAAUUUUUAGUUUUAAAAUUGAUGGGUUUGAAUUAAUUUGAAUUGGCUUUUGUGGUUGGAUCAAAGAAAGGUUAUUCAAAAACAACCUCUCGACCUCCCAUUUCAAACUUCAUAAGUGGAAUUAUAAUGAUUAUAUUGUUGUUUUGUUGUUAUAAUUUAUUAUAAUAUCAUUAAAUUAUAUUAUUAGAAUAUUAACAUUUGAUCAUUAAAUCUAAUUUGAAACAGGUGUUUGAUCGUGACUGCUCAAGAGGUUGAUUUUAUAACAUCAAAAAUGCAUUUUUUAUUGUAAAAUUUACAAAAUAGUAUAUGUAACAAUUUAACUAGGCAACAAUUGUGAUAUGUGAAUGUCAUGUGAGCAUCCAGUAGAAUGAUAUUCCCAUGGUUGUAUAAACAAUACUUUUGGAAUUUAUG